GAUCAGCUGUGUGCAUAGGCGUACCAUCUGGUAAAGCUCCUGUAUAUGCAAUCAAUUAACUGAAGUUAUUAGUAUAAUAAAAUGUUAUUUAACUGACUUUUCAACAAAAUAUUAUAUUAAUACGUAUUUUCUCUUGAUCUGUAGCUGUUUGUUUAACAUCAAAGAUGUAAUAAAAUCGUUAAGAAUUUCUUUUCUUCCCUCUUUCAAAGGUACGUCACUGGAGAUAGAAAGCAAAUCUGACAGCUGAUCGCCAUUUGCAACCUCCUUCCUGGCUCGUAGUCAUUUCGCAUUGUACUCCUUCCUGAUUUAUUUUAUAUUCUAAGAUUUUCAUACAUAAGAUAACCGAUAACCUAAAAAUUUAGUAAAGUAAAAAUUUUGAUUGGAAAAAAAAUGCAUCGAUAAGGGGGUGUGGGAAAUGGAAAUUAGUGGCUUUUUUGCUGUACUGUCUGCAGUUUUUGCUCUGGGCUCUGGCUGGAUCUCUUGUUUAAACAAUUUUAAUCAGCUGAAAGUGGCCUACAAAAAAAAACCAAGAAGGAAAUGUAUAGCCUUGUGGCUAUGAAAGGCAAAAGAGAGAUAUAAAAAGUUUAUUGGCUAGUUGGAAGAAAGUCCACAUUGUCUAUGCAUAAUAAGUUAUUACUUUAUCAACAAAUAUCAAGAAGAUAGCAGGGUCACGAGCAUCAACUUCAUCAGUUCAAGAAUAUCGAGGAAAUCCAGCUCCUCGAUACUACUGGGCAAACUAGAAGAUUGAAGAGGACAAAUCCUUUUGAACUAGUUUGAGUGAUAGGUGAUAGUGAAAAACGGAGCAUAGUGCUUGUGUGCUGUGCCUGUGUAUGUUAGAAUAGUGCACGAUCUUGUUAGAUUAGAUAAGAGACGCUAUGGGGUAAGCUCUUCAUUUUAAGAAACAGUAGUAAUUUAGGUUAAAUUAAAAUUGUUCAUUGGUCAGUUAUGACCAGAUUGUUUUUUUAUGUUUGGCAAAAAGGACUUAAGUCAGAAUUGCACAUUGAUAAUGUUUUGAUGAUUUCUGGACCAGAAAAAAACUGUUGUAGAUGUAAACUGUAUGUACAGUAGAAUCUACUACAGUACUGUAGAAAUCAUCAAAACAUUAUCGAUGUGCAAUUCUGACUUAAGCCCUUUUUCCCAAACAUCAGAGAAUUGUAAUGUACAAUAAUUCACCUAUCUGCUUUUUCAUGAAUUUUGUAGGAGACGAAAAACCAUUUUUAGGAUCAUCUGCUUUCACAUGUAAA